rnacentral:rRNA from 1 species
AUGUCUUCAUCGUCCUCCUCCGCAAUGGCCACGCCCUCCCUCGCUUCCCUAGGCCAUACGAUCACGGAGAAGCUGAAUCGUGAGAAUUUCCUCAUCUGGCGCGCGCAGGUUCUGCCGCAUGUGCGCGCGGCAGGCAUGAUGGGAUUCCUCGAUGGUUCCCAGAAGGAACCCGCCGCUGAGAUCCGCACGGAGAGGGACAACGCCGGCAAGAAGGAGAUCACCGUUGCCGUCAAUCCAGAGCACGCCAUCUGGGUGACCCAGGACCAGCAGGUGCUCUCGUUUUUGAUUGCCUCUCUCUCUCGCGAAGUGCUCCUGCAGGUCAGUAACUGCACGACGGCCGCCGCUACCUGGAGCGCUCUCCUUCAGAGCUUCUCCUCGCAAUCUCGCGCCCGCAUCAUCCAGCUCCGUGAUCAGAUCGGCCACACCAAGAAGGGCGAUAUGUCGGCGGCCGCCUACUUCACCAAGAUGAAGGGGCUCGCCGACGAACUUGCAGCUGCCGGAAGGCCCCUGGAUGAAGAUGAUGUUGUCUCUCACAUCAUCCAGGGGCUCAUGCACGAGCCGGAGUACAGCGGGUUCGUGUCCGCCGUCUCCACGCGCACCAUCACCGACCAGCCAAUCGGCCUCGACGAGUUGUUCUCGCUGCUGCUUGCUGCUGAGUCACGCAUCGCCGCACAGACCUCCGCCUACUCCGCCAACCUUGCUGCAAAAGGCGGAGGUCGCGGCAACUUCAACCAGGGUGGCUCUCGUGGCGGCGGCAACAGCGGCUCCCGUGGUGGCUACAACUACAACAACACGGGCUACAACAACAACAACUACUCUGGUGGUGGCGGCUUUGGUGGCGCGCCUCGCCAGGGUGGUGACCGCGGUGACCGCGGUGAUCGCGAGAAGUGCCAGAUCUGCAAGAACGAGGGGCAUGGUGCAUGGCGCUGCAAGAAACGCUACGACCGCAACUUCAACAACAACGUUCGUAACCCUGCUGGUGGUGGAGGCGGUGGUGGCGGCGGUGGAAACCGAUCUGCCAACGCUGUCCACUCCUAUGGAGUCGAUACCAACUGGUAUCUUGACUCUGGCGCAACCAACCACGUGACCGGCGAACUAGAGAAGCUCGCUGUGCAUGAUCGCUACACCGGCUCGGAGCAAAUCCACACCGCAAGUGGUCAAGGAUCGGGCCACUCGGAGGACCAUUCUUCAAAACGAGAGUAG